AUGCUUCGAAGUACGGUAAUGGAAUAUUUAGAAAUCUUUUGUCACGAAUUGCGCCAUGCUCGUGACCCUUAUUUACACUUCGGAUAGUGUAUUGAAUACACGAACAAAACGCCGCUGUUUGGAUAUAACUAUGGAUUAUUUUGAACCAAACCAACAUUUUUUAUUGAAGUAGCAGUCCUGGGAGUGCAUUCUGACGAAGAACAUCAAAGUACACCAGCAGUAUGAGAGAAGUUUGGACUGGAUCUCCAUGCGAAAAACAACACACAGUUGAGACCCCCCCCCCCCAAAUUGGCUUAUACUACCCUAUCGUCUUGGCAAUCUCACUGUGGCGUUACAGGUCAGGGAGUCAGAGGGCUAAUCCAGCAGACCCAAUCAG
rnacentral:lncRNA from 1 species